AUUGAACGCUGGCGGCAUGCCUUACACAUGCAAGUCGAACGGCAGCGGACCUUCGGGUGCCGGCGAGUGGCGAACGGGUGAGUAAUGUAUCGGAACGUACCUUUCAGUGGGGGAUAACGUAGCGAAAGUUACGCUAAUACCGCAUAUUCUGUAAGCAGGAAAGCAGGGGAUCGCAAGACCUUGCGCUGAUUGAGCGGCCGAUAUCAGAUUAGAUAGUUGGCGAGGUAAAGGCUCACCAAGGCGACGAUCUGUAGCGGGUCUGAGAGGAUGAUCCGCCACACUGGAACUGAGACACGGUCCAGACUCCUACGGGAGGCAGCAGUGGGGAAUUUUGGACAAUGGGGGCAACCCUGAUCCAGCCAUGCCGCGUGAGUGAAGAAGGCCUUCGGGUUGUAAAGCUCUUUCGUCCGGGAAGAAAUCGCAUCAGCUAAUACCUGGUGUGGAUGACGGUACCAGAAUAAGAAGCACCGGCUAACUACGUGCCAGCCGCCGCCGUAAGAC
rnacentral:rRNA from 1 species